rnacentral:tRNA from 1 species
GGGACAUUAGCUCAGUUGGUAGAGCGCAGCUUUUGCACGGCUGAUGUCAGGAGUUCGACUCUCCUAUGUUCC